rnacentral:rRNA from 1 species
ACAUACGACCAUAGCUGCCAGUAAAGCUCAGAAACCCGUCCGAUCUUCCAGGAGAAUCUGGCAAGCGCUGGAUUAGUAGUUGGGUCGGUGACGACCAGCGAAUACCUAGUAUUGUAUGUU